rnacentral:rRNA from 1 species
GACGAACGCUGGCGGCGUGCUUAAUACAUGCAAGUCAACUUGACUUUAGAUAGCAAUAUCGAAAGUAGGGUGGCGCACGGGUGCGUAACGCGUAGGUAAUCUGCCCUGAGGUCUGACAUAACCCGUCGAAAGGCGGGCUAACAUCAGAUGAUAUAUAAUCACGACAUCGUGGAAAUAUCAAAUCUUCGGAGCCUUGGGAUGAGCCUGCGUCUGAUUAGGUAGUUGGCGGAGUAAUAGCCCACCAAGCCUACGAUCAGUAGCUGGUCUGAGAGGAUGAUCAGCCACACUGGAACUGAGACACGGUCCAGACUCCUACGGGAGGCAGCAGUAAGGAAUAUUGCUCAAUGGGGGAAACCCUGAAGCAGCAACGCCGCGUGAAGGAUGAAAUACUUUGUAUGUAAACUUCUGUAAGAUGGGAAAAUAUUCUCCUCGGGAGAAUUGAUUGUACCAUCAGAGUAAG